UGCUUUUUGUAUAUAUAAAAAGUAUUACCUGCCCAAUGAUUAAUUAAAUGGCCGCAGUAUAUUGACUGUGCAAAGGUAGCAUAAUCAUUUGUUUUAUAAAUUAAAUCUUGUAUGAAUGGAAAUAUGAAAAUAUAACUGUCUUUUUUUUAUAAAUAAAAUUUGCUUUUUUAGUGAAGAAGCUAAAACUUUUUAAAAAGACGAAAAGACCCUAACGAGUUUUGAAUAUUUAUUAUAUAUAAUUUUAAAUAUUUUUAAUUGGGGUGAUUAAAGAAUAAAUCUUCUUUUUAUAAAAAUUAUAAUUAUUGAUCCAUUAAUAAUGAAUAAAGUAUAAAUUACCGUAGGGUUAACAGCAUAAUUUUUUUUAAGAGUUCAUAUUGACAAAAAAGAUUGUGACCUCGAUGUUGGUUUAAGAAACUUUUAUAAUGAAGAAAUUAUAAAAAUAAGUCUGUUCGACUUUUAAAAUCUUACA
rnacentral:rRNA from 1 species